CAGUUUACACUUCAAACAGCAGGCCACUGUCGCAUACUUACUGUAAAUUCCAGAAAGUGUUUUAGCAUGUUAAUGGACAAACCUUCCCACCACACAUCUUUAUAAAGAAAGCCAGUGAGUCAACAUUAUCUGAAAGAAUACCAUUUCCAUCCGAGAAGAAAGAAGAGUCUCUCCCGGUUGUUUGCUAUGAAUCGGAGACUGGAAAAGGCUUGAGUAAAACUCAUAGUAUCUCAAAUGGGGAAUUGGAUUCAUAUCACUGUAAUGGCUUGCACAUGUUUCCAUGUGGACCACAACCGACAAGUGAUACAAGAUCAGUUGAGUUAAGAGGAGAUAUAAAGGACCAUACAAGGCUUGAGAAACCUACUGAUCUUGUGGUACUGUCCAACCUGAAUAGGACCAUGUUGUCUUCCACUGUGGUAACUGUCCUGGCACCACACUGGAAUGGCCGACCAAGACGAACCAAAAGACCUGAGGUAACGGGCAAUUGGGAAGCCCAGGGGGGUUUAUACGAUGUGACAAACACUGCGGCACACCGCUCCCAGGGGCGCUUUCAUGAGUCUCUAGAUAGGUCAUCGGCAGAUGGAUCGCAAGCCCAAUCAAGGGGGUCUUUUCUGGGGACCAGGAGGAAUACGGUGGGCUGGUCAACAAAGAGUGGACCUGAAAGCUUAGACUAUGAAUCUAAGAGGAAAUUUAAUCAUACUGUGUCUUUGGAUGUCAACUCUGGAAGGAUGAACAGUAGACAAAUGUAUGCAGGUGCUGUAAGUCCUGAUCACACAGCUGCAACCCCUGUGUCUCCCCUCUCCUUCGAAAUACACGAACAAAGGACGAACCCUGGUCAUCAAGGAGGAUUGUCCCCAAGCUCGAAACCGACAACCAGCAGAAUGCUUCUCUCUUUAAGAAGAUGCAAUUCAAAUAGCAGGAUCAAUAAUGCUGCCUCCCCCACCCCUGAGAUGAAUCCUUCGCCACGUCAUCAAGAUGGAAAAUUAUUCACAACACACCUCUCUCAAACUUUCCUGAAUAAUAACGGGCAGGAGAGGUCAAAGCCUCUCCUCUCUCCAUCGGGGAAUUCUAAUAGGACAACUGAAACCGGGCCAAUCAUUUCCCCAUCAUCCUCCAACCACAGAGAAAGGAACACAUUUGGAACUCGCUUCUUUUCGACUUCACCCACGAGCAAAAACACAGAAGACACACCCUUUUCCCAACAAGCUGAAACAAUGACUAGUAGGACCCAGUCCAGUCUUUCAUGUUUCCAACACCCAACACCGAUGCGAGAGCCAACAGAGAACUGCAGGUGUUCAGACAAAAGUACAAAUGUAUUCUCUGAGAGCUCUGCCUAUUCACCAAAACAUUCCCCAUUUGACCGGUCUUCCCUCCUAAAUACCCAUUCCCUCCCCAGAAGGACCAACCUGACAGCCACCUCCUGGUGGAAACAAGUUGCCCCGGAAUGUAAUUCCAAUCAAACUGUCAAUGAUACAACAAACAUCAAAGAAAAGUUAAACACACCCUCUGUUCCACCCUACAAUGAUAAUCGAGACCUAGCCUCUGCGUGUCCAACUGACAACAAAAGAUGUGUUAGUCAAAUCCACAAUAACCGAGACAACAAUAACACAACAGAGUCAGUCGGCCGAGGUAACAUGAACCGUAUUAUGACAAAACAGGGAGGAACUGACAACAUCAAACCAAGAAUAGGUGAGGAUUCACCUGGACGUGGGUCAGACAGGAUGGUCAAACAGCAAUAUAGCUCCAAUCUGAACAACAGAGACGCACAAAAGCCUCACAGUUUGCCGGAUGUUUUUCUCAGUUCUAUAAUUAGCAAAGCUACAAAGCAAACAACGCUGAAUCAUCCUCCUAAAGAUCUCAGCAGCCAUGACUCAAAUACUACCCCAUUUACAGCAAACAAAACUUUGCUAAAUCCCAAGAGCUCAAAUACACCCACCAAGAGCAGCAGCAGCUACACUCAAUGCGCAUCCAAAACCAACAGCUCCCCCGCAUCUUCACACAAACAUGACUCUCAAAAAUUUGGCAAACCACCUCUUUCUCUUGUUACCACCAACUCUUCCUGUAUUCAGGAGCCUACUUCUCUCUCUGGUCUUUCCCAAUGCCCAUACACUAAACCUACUUCCUACAUUCCCCUUAUCACCAAGAUAACUCAUAACGCACCUCUUCGCUAUGAAAGAAGCAUUGCUUCCGUUCAUAAGCCUUUCCACCCUAAAACCGUAUCGAGUCCAACAGUUGGUGCUUACUCUAAGACCAACUACAGUACAGCAUCCACUGCUUCUCCCAGCUAUUCGUUUGCCUCUGGCAGCCGUCAUGUAGCAAUAACUGCUCCUAGAACAUCCCUCCUUACUUCUUCUUCAUCUCCUGGCAUUAUGUCUUCUCCCUCCUCACCCUUAACCCCACCUGCCACGCUUAACAAUAUUACCUCCAACGAUUCAGCCCCUUCCAGUCUCAAGGAGGCAAGGACAUUCUCAAACAGCCCAGAAAACGACCCAGUGAAAAAGCACCGCGUAGAGGGAAAGCGAGUGAGACGAGUCACAUGGGAGGACUCUGUGGAUCUGAAGCAUUCUGAACCUGUGGCAGUCGACGAAGCCGAGCCGGUUCACGUACCAUUGAGCUCAAGCUCCCCGGAAAGCAGCAAAGUUACAUCCAUCGCUUCUUUUCUAAGAUCAAGAAGUCCGACCACAAGCGCAGCUCAUUUUUGCUCCCUCAGCCCCAAAACCUCCAGCAUACACGGGCUGAAAGGGGAAAGGUAUCGCUCUUUGUCAUCUGACUGUGCUGAUUUAGUUUCCAGAGACCAUCAAAGGUCUAAGCAAAGACCGAGUGACACUAGGAUCUUUGACCAGGGAAUGCGGGAUGUGACAACACCCAGACAGGAGAGGACUCUCUCAGUGGAUUCUGACACCCUUCAGUGCCGUUCUUCUGCUCCUCUCUCCCUCCCUCCUGACUUUUCAAGUUGUUAUAAGCUUCGCUACAGCUCUCCACCAUACUCCACUCUCAUUUCUACCAGGCCAACACAGGGAGAAACUAAGACUAUGUUAUCCAGAUCACCCCUCUUCCAACAGUCUCAAUCAAAUUAUACUCCACACCUUUCUAGAUGCACUGAUUCAGUGGCAGACAUGACCGUGCCCACAUCCAAACCUCCUCUCUCACCUAUCGGCCUGCCUCUCCAAAACCAAACUACCACCCGAGGAAGUACAAAAGGGGGGGUUUCAGAUACUGAUCAAGUCAAUAAUAACCACAGCAAGAGCAACAGGCAAGAUUUCCAGAAUGGCCAGUUAGUACUUGUCCACAACAGAUUUCAUGAGGCACAUAGCCCCUCCUCAAAAUAUGUAACUGAGACACUAGUCUACACUGUUAAAUCUAAAGAAGAGACAGCUACAGCUGCCCAUUCGCCACAUGACGCAAACACAAAGGCUUCUGUAGAGACCGAGUUAAGUCAACAGUCACACAGAAUGCAAAGUAAGGAAGCAGCAAGAGAACCCCUUUGUCAUUCAGAUCCGAGCCCAAGUGUCAGCCGUUCAAGCUCCAUCGGAAAAGUGAAGGAGAACGUACUGGGUAAAAGUAGAUUUUUUUCAAUGGAGAGCAACAAUGAACAAAGCACAAAGCGAAGCCGGUUUGCACUGAAGAAAAGUGACAGUACACCACACUCCAGUUUGUCAAGAUCACAGUCGGAGACAACCAGCAAGCCUAGUAACAAAAUGGACCAGGUGUUCAGCAGACUAAAACAAAAAUUCAGCACUAGACUGUCUGAUGAGGAUAUGUUUCCAUGGAAAUGGAAGCGAGUUUCUCAAACAACUUCAGCUGGUGGAUCAGGUGAUGUCAGUGACAACACCGUGGAGAGCAACCAAAAGCUUGAGGAGCAGGAGAAAGGGAUGUUGAUCAAAGACGAUGAGAAGGGAACAGAUUGUACUGAUAGAUGGAAAACAAACCGAUACAGUCUCAUACCACCCUCAGUGGCAGGAGAGGAGCUGUACAGUUGGUCAGACCAAACCACUCCAGAAACUGACCGAGACAAACAAACUGCAUAUCCAGAAUACACGGAAAGUCAAAACCAUCCUCAUUUGACAAUAACUAGCCCAACAACAAACCAGUUAGACUUUUACAAAGACAAUGUAACAGAUUCUAAACCAUCAAACCUGUUCCUCUAUUGUAGCAGUCAAAGUCCUGGUAGGAGCCCUAAAUCCUCUGCCGACUCUCCCACUCAGCUCAGCAAGUCUACAUCCAGCCCCAGGAGCCCCUUCUCCCCAUUUCCUUCUCUUUCCCCUGUCUCCCAACUUACCUCAACGGAUGACAAUGUCUUCUUCAGCCCUAAGCUGCACCGUCACCGAGAAUCCCCCUCACUGUGUGAGCCGGGGGAGGGAAUCCGCCUGGGGGCUUCGAGAAGAAGCCGGGCAUCCACAGGUCCUCCAAGUGCAGGUCCAGGACCGGACAAUGAACGCUUGGCGUCCUCCUAUGCAGACUUAAAGUACGGCAUUGAGCCUGGGAGAUCGUUUUCCGUCAGUUCGGUACUGUCCAGUCGUCCCUCGGGUCCAGGACGCAUCUCCACUGGAUCCAGGUUCAUGAGUGUUGGUGACCUCUCUGCAUUAACGUGUGGCAAGCCUGGAAAAGAUUUGGAUCAGUGGUCUAUUAAUCCUGAAUGGACCAGUGACUAUGAUUGCCAGUCCAGUAAGGAGUGUCGACAGGCUUGUUUCCCCAGCGACCCAGGUAAGAUGAGAUCCAGAUCUCUUCCUCGAUCACUGACUAGGCGCCUAGCAAAUUGGAGCUCAGAAGCCUUUGCUUCCCAACCUGCAACAAGCACCACCUCUAAGGCUGCUCGCCUAUGGAGCCCCAACAAGAACACGUGUCACUUUGCAUAUGAUACAGAGGGGCCUCCGACACCUCCUCCAACCCCGCCCCUAUCACCAGUGUCCAGACGCAUGUCCAAACCUCCCCGCCUUUCCUCCCCCACCGUCCCCGGUGCAUCAGGAGUGUCGCAGCAAGUGGACAACUUGUCCCCCAGAGGGAUUUUGCCGUCGAGAGGUUAUGUAUCCAGCCUUACUACUUUUGACGAGUCCUCAGACAGCAGCUCGGACACGACGACAGACGAUGAAUAUUACUUAGAGACGGGUGAAGAAAAAGAGACUGAAUUGUGA
ensembl:lncRNA